UUUAAAUUGAGAGUUUGAUCCUGGCUCAGGAUGAACGCUGGUGGCGUGCCUAAUACAUGCAAGUCGUACGCUAGCCGCUGAAUUGAUCCUUCGGGUGAAGUGAGGCAAUGACUAGAGUGGCGAACUGGUGAGUAACACGUAAGAAACCUGCCCUUUAGUGGGGGAUAACAUUUGGAAACAGAUGCUAAUACCGCGUAACAACAAAUCACACAUGUGAUCUGUUUGAAAGGUCCUUUUGGAUCGCUAGAGGAUGGUCUUGCGGCGUAUUAGCUUGUUGGUAGGGUAGAAGCCUACCAAGGCAAUGAUGCGUAGCCGAGUUGAGAGACUGGCCGGCCACAUUGGGACUGAGACACUGCCCAAACUCCUACGGGAGGCUGCAGUAGGGAAUUUUCCGCAAUGCACGAAAGUGUGACGGAGCGACGCCGCGUGUGUGAUGAAGGCUUUCGGGUCGUAAAGCACUGUUGUAAGGGAAGAAUAACUGAAUUCAGAGAAAGUUUUCAGCUUGACGGUACCUUACCAGAAAGGGAUGGCUAAAUACGUGCCAGCAGCCGCGGUAAUACGUAUGUCCCGAGCGUUAUCCGGAUUUAUUGGGCGUAAAGCGAGCGCAGACGGUUUAUUAAGUCUGAUGUGAAAUCCCGAGGCCCAACCUCGGAACUGCAUUGGAAACUGAUUUACUUGAGUGCGAUAGAGGCAAGUGGAACUCCAUGUGUAGCGGUGAAAUGCGUAGAUAUGUGGAAGAACACCAGUGGCGAAAGCGGCUUGCUAGAUCGUAACUGACGUUGAGGCUCGAAAGUAUGGGUAGCAAACGGGAUUAGAUACCCCGGUAGUCCAUACCGUAAACGAUGGGUGCUAGUUGUUAAGAGGUUUCCGCCUCCUAGUGACGUAGCAAACGCAUUAAGCACCCCGCCUGAGGAGUACGGCCGCAAGGCUAAAACUUAAAGGAAUUGACGGGGACCCGCACAAGCGGUGGAGCAUGUGGUUUAAUUCGAAGAUACGCGAAAAACCUUACCAGGUCUUGAC
rnacentral:rRNA from 1 species